GGAAUUGCUAGUAAUCGCGGAUCAGCAUGCCGCGGUGAAUACGUUCCAGGGCCUUGUACACACCGCCCGUCACACCAUGAGAGCCGGUAACACCCGAAGUCGGUAGUCUAACUUUAGAGGACGCCGCCGAAGGUGGGACUGGUGAUUGGGGUGAAGUCGUAACAAGGUAUC
rnacentral:rRNA from 1 species